AGCAGUAGGGAAUAUUGGGCAAUGGGCGCGAGCCUGACCCAGCCAUGCCGCGUGCAGGAAGAAGGCUUUCUGAGUCGUAAACUGCUUUUGACAGGGAAGAAUAAGCGGGUCGUGACCCGUGAUGACGGUACCUGCAGAAUAAGCACCGGCUAACUCCGUGCCAGCAGCCGCGGUAAUACGGAGGGUGCGAGCGUUGUCCGGAUUUAUUGGGUUUAAAGGGUGCGUAGGCGGCCGUUUAAGUCUGGGGUGAAAGCCCGUUGCUCAACAGCGGAACUGCCCUGGAUACUGGAUGGCUUGAGUACAGACGAGGUUGGCGGAAUGGACCGAGUAGCGGUGAAAUGCAUAGAUACGGUCCAGAACCCCGAUUGCGAAGGCAGCUGACUAGGCUGUUACUGACGCUGAGG
rnacentral:rRNA from 1 species